rnacentral:lncRNA from 10 species
AAACUAUUGAAAAAACUUACUUUUAAAAUUCUCAACAUCACUAAUCAUCCAGGAAAUGCAAAUCAAAACCACAAUGAGAUGUCAUCUCACCUCAGUUAAAGUGGCUAUUAUCAAAAAGACAGAACAUAGCAGUUGCUGAUGAGGAUACAGAGAAGGGGAAGUUCUCCUACACUGUUCAUGGGAAUGUAGAUUAGUAUGGAAGUCCAUCAGAAAACUAAAAAUAGAACUACCAUAUGAUCCAGCAAUCCUACUGCUAGGGAUGUAACCAAAAGAAAGGCAAUCAGCAUAUAAAAGAGAUAUCUGCACCUCUUUGUUUAUUGCAGCACUAUUCACAAUAGCCAGAUUAUAGAAUCAACAUAUGUGCCCAUCAACAGAUGAAUGGACAAAGAAAAUGUGGUAUAUAUUCACAAUGGAAUAUUCAUUCAUAAAAAAAUUAAAAUCCCAUCAUUUGAAGCAACAUGGAUGUAACUGGAGGAUAUGAUGUUAAAUGAAAUAAGCCAUGCACAGAAAGACAAAUAUCACAUGUUCUCACUCAUAUGUGGGAGCUAAAAAGGCUAAACUUAUGGAGGUGGGGAGUAGAAUGGUGAUUACCAGAGGUUGGGAAGUGUUGAAGUCAGAGAGGAAGAGAACUUGGUUAAUGGGUACAAAAAUACAGUUAGAAAGAAGGAAUAAGUUCUAGUGUUCACAGUAGAACAAACAUAAUUAAUAAGAAUUUAUAGUAUAUUUCAAAAUAGCUGCAAGAAAAGCAUUAUAAUGUUCCCAACACGAAGAAAUGGUAACCGUUUCAGGUGAUGGCUAUCCCAACUACCCUAAUUUUAUAAUUAUACAUUAUAGGUAUGUAUCAAAAGAUCCCAUGUACUCCACAAAUAUGUACAACUAUUAUGUAUCAAUAAAGACAGAAAAAACAUUAUAUAUAAUUACAUAAUACAGACAUAAUGAAUAUGAAUCAACUCUUAGUAUAUAUGAGGAAGAAGUGCUUGAAAAAUUUCUGUAAUUUUAAUCAUUAAAAACCUAGUCUCCAGAAUUAAAUUUUAUUCACUUAAUCAAGUCUUGUUUCAGGAGAGAGAGACAGAUAUAAAGAAAGGGUAUAGCUACUUGAACAAGGGAGGCAGCAUCCAAAUGACAGCCUGCAUGUUGUUUAUUCACACAGAGUAACUGCUGGCCAAAAUAAUAUCUCCCGAUGUUCAUUUAGUGUUGACAGAAAUGGUGAGAAUAUUCAAUACUAUCAACUUUCAGCCACUGAAUGUGCUUAUUUUGAGAGCACUGUUCAAAGAAGUGGAUUCUAGCUAUAAACACUGCUUUUCCCCCCACUUAAAUAGUCUAUUGAAGAGGAAAAUACCCAUACACAUUAGUAAAAUGAGAAAUGAGAUAAAAAUAUUGUUUCCUUACUCUAAUGCCGACGAAGAAUAAUGGUAUGAUUUAAGGGACCUAAGUAAAUAGCAUAUCCCAGUAAUAUAAUCAGUAUUGUGAGCCACCUAACUCUCUCAUUCAAAGCCAAGGUGUGGAGAUUCUUAAGAUCAAAGAUAAGUGGUCGGAAUUUCUUAAGAGGGCCGACCAUGUGGGCAAGGGCUUUGUUGUUCAGACUUCGACCCUUCCCCAGAGCCUGAAGAUUUUCUUUAGAAAACAAAGUCAAUGCCACGACUGGACCUUUCAACACCACACCCAAAUGCUGCAACAGAUGAUAUCACUUUCCAGGGUAAACACAAGCAGUGUAUUCUGAGGCCACUGGCCCGACUUCCCAGGUUGACUCAUCCUGCCUUCCAGCCUUGAAGGGCAAUAUCCUUACCAACAUGUGAUCUGAAGGAGCUCUGAACCCUCCAGUGAGACAUCAGCCCAUCAGACUCACAGAGAACAGCAGGAAGGCCAAAGACUCAAGAUUUAUCUAUCCUUGAAGUGAGCAAAAUUCCUUGGUAAAAGAUUAUAAAAUAAAACAAUUGUUUUUCUGAUAAAAUUUAAUUUUUUUCAAUGUUUUACUAUGUUUAUAUUUUUAAGUCACUUAAAAUUGGUAGUUUAUUGAUGAACUAAAUAUCUAUUAAGUUAUUCAGUGAUGCUGAUUACAACAGGCCUCCGUUAUACGAAGGGAAAACAUCCCAGACCCCCCAGUGAAUGCCUGAAACUGGAUUCUACUGAACCCUGAGAUGGUACUAAGUGACUAACGGGUGAAUAGCGUGUACAGCAUGGAUACACUAGACAAAGGGAGGAUUCGCAUCCCGGGCUGGUCAGCAAGAGGUUUCAUCACCCCACUCAAAAUGGCAAAUCCCCUAUGUAAGAGAAUUGAUUCCUUUUCAGGCAGGACCGUAUGAACCUGAAUCCAGAGAAACGGCUCAUCAGUCUCCAAUCCUCUGAUUUUCUAAACCAGGACUACAUUAUAUUAAAACCAGAAAAAGCAAUACCUCUUUUCACAGAAUGGACUUUCUGGUGGAAAUGGGAGGAACCAAAAGAAGGCUGACUUCUUCAUUUUGACACCCUGCCCUGACUGCAGAACGUGAUUUCCCUAAAAGACUGAAUGUUAACCUCAAAGCCUGGUCAACCAACAUGCAGGAGAAAUCUUGACCAAGGCUCUGAGCAUGCUGUGGUCCCAGUGGUGAGGGUGUGAUAUGCACUGUCUGUUCCUGGAGUCACAGUGCUCAUCUUGUGGUAAAGACCUCUUGGAAGAAUGUCUUCAAAGGCACAUCUCCAGCUGGGAGUCCUUGUUUCCUGAUUUUUUUUUUUAAGUUUAUGUUAUAUGAACAAAUGAGACUGCUUUCCCGGCAGGAGUAGCCCUCAGACGCCCACUGUGAGCCUACUUUCUGGAAGAAGCCAACUCAGACAGACCACAGUGUGUGCACAGCAUACGUGGCUGCUGGCUGUGGAUGAGAAAGUAUUCCUGAUCUGUCAGAAUAAUGAUUUCAGCGUGUUCUCAGCAGGUCCUCAGUGUGAUCCCAUGAGGAUACCCUCAACCCCUUGCAUGACAUGUUGUACUUGGAGUCCUUCCCCAUUUCAAUUUCAGCAUCAGUGGGAGGGAAAUAGCAAAACAGCAUUCCUUCAUGUAGAUAACCAGUAGGCAGCAGGCUACUCCUGGUUCGUAACAUAACUCCACCAGUGUAUUCUGGCAGCCGGGCUUACUUAAGGGAGAGCACAGACAUUCCCUGCUCAAAAACAAAACUGCUAAACGUGACUCCGGUAGCCUCCAUGCUCUCUGCAAGAAUAAAAUCCUUGAAGAAAAAUUGUGAUAAGAAGUCUGUCUUUGGAGUCAGCCUGAGCACAAUCUUGCAUCUCCAGUUACCACCUGGGUGGCUUUAUUCACUUAAGAAAUACCUGUAGGAUACAUACUACAUGGCAGGCAUGCUUCUCAGAUGUUAGCUCAUCUUGCUAAGCCUCCAGUAUCUUCAUCUAAACAGUGAGGAUAACAGUAUGUACCUCCUAGGGCCAUCUGAGGAAAAAGUGAGAUAGUGUGUAUAAAGCUCAUAGCACAGGGCUCAUAGAGAGGAUUUGCAGUUAGUGUUGGCUGUGGCAGGUAUUAUUCCCUUUACCCCAGCCUAUGCCAUCCUUGCCACCCCAUCAGGAGCUCCUGAUGAUGCCAGCACCUCUUGCCGAGCCCUCAUCUGGGGCAGCGUACACCUUUAACUUUUUAUUCCUCUUGGCUUUGAUAUUCAUUGACCUGGAGCUACCCACACCAGGGGGCAGCAUAAAUAAUGGCAGAAGUCACAGUCUCUGCCCUGGCUUCACACCUCCUCUUGGUAUCAGCUGUUCACCAUGCUCUUCCUACUGACUCUCUGUAGGACCAGCACCAACACCAUGUCUUAAUCUGAUAUACAUACACACACACACACACACACACACACACACGAGACACUAUAAACAGUAUAUAUGCA